UGAAGAGUGUUUCUCAGUUAGUUCUUCACAUGGAGACAGACACGUGAUGUAACUGUGUUUGAUUGUGAUCAGUCCUGGUGCACACAGGUGAUGAUGAAGAGUGUUUCUCAGUUAGUUCUUCACAUGGAGACAGACACGUGAUGUAAUUGUGUUUGAUUGUGAUCAGUCCUGGUGCACACAGGUGAUGAUGAAGAGUGUUUCUCAGUUAGUUCUUCACAUGGAGACAGACACGUGAUGUAAUUGUGUUUGAUUGUGAUCAGUCCUGGUGCACACAGGUGAUGAUGAUGAGUGUUUCUCAGUUAGUUCUUCACAUGGAGACAGACACGUGAUGUAAUUGUGUUUGAUUGUGAUCAGUCCUGGUGCACACAGGUGAUGAUGAAGAGUGUUUCUCAGUUAGUUCUUCACAUGGAGACAGACACGUGAUGUAAUUGUGUUUGAUUGUGAUCAGUCCUGGUGCACACAGGUGAUGAUGAUGAGUGUUUCUCAGUUAGUUCUUCACAUGGAGACAGACACGUGAUGUAACUGUGUUUGAUUGUGAUCAGUCCUGGUGCACACAGGUGAUGAUGAAAAGUGUUUCUCAGUUAGUUCUUCACAUGGAGACAGACACGUGAUGUAACUGUGUUUGACUGUGAUCAGUCCUGGUGCACACAGGUGAUGAUGAAAAGUGUUUCUCAGUUAGUUCUUCACAUGUAGACAGACACGUGAUGUAAUUGUGUUUGAUUGUGAUCAGUCCUGGUGCACACAGGUGAUGAUGAUGAGUGUUUCUCAGUUAGUUCUUCACAUGGAGAAGAGACACGUGAUGUAAUUGUGUUUGAUUGUGAACAGUCCUGGUGCACACAGGUGAUGAUGAAGAGUGUUUCUCAGUUAGUUCUUCACAUGGAGACAGACACGUGAUGUAAUUGUGUUUGAUUGUGAACAGUCCUGGUGCACACAGGUGAUGAUGAAGAGUGUUUCUCAGUUAGUUCUUCACAUGGAGACAGACACGUGAUGUAAUUGUGUUUGAUUGUGAUCAGUCCUGGUGCACACAGGUGAUGAUGAUGAGUGUUUCUCAGUUAGUUCUUCACAUGGAGACAGAUACAUGAUGUAAUUGUGUUUGAUUGUGAACAGGAUGGUGUUGUGAUAGCAGAUCCAUCAUAUAACAGAUGGACUGAACCUGCGACUGCUGUAUCAUCUGACAGAAUCAUCAUCAAUCACUGUGUGCAGAAACUUCAUCAUGAGAUCCUCUGUCCCACUUCAGGGUUCACACACCAGACCACAUACAGAGCGUGGAAUGAAACUGCAGUGACACCAACAUCAGAUAUUUUUACUCCAGCUCCCCGACACUCAUAUCAGUUGUUCUGGAUUUGUGCUCUUUUUAUCCCCAUUAUUCUGCUGAUUGUGUGUUUCAUGCUGCGGAAAAAGACGGUCCGGUAAGUGAUGAUGACAGAUCUCUCU